AAACCGGAGCUAAUACCGGAUAAUUCUUUUAGCCUCAUGGCUUUAAGCUGAAAGGCGCUUCGGCGUCACUACAGGAUGGACCCGCGGUGCAUUAGCUAGUUGGUGAGGUAACGGCUCACCAAGGCAACGAUGCAUAGCCGACCUGAGAGGGUGAUCGGCCACAUUGGGACUGAGACACGGCCCUAACUCCUACGGGAGGCAGCAGUAGGGAAUCUUCCACAAUGGACGAAAGUCUGAUGGAGCAACGCCGCGUGAGUGAUGAAGGUUUUCGGAUCGUAAAACUCUGUUGUAAGGGAAGAACAAGUAGCGUAGUAACUGGCGCUACCUUGACGGU
rnacentral:rRNA from 1 species